rnacentral:rRNA from 1 species
UACGGAGGGUGCAAGCGUUAUCCGGAAUCACUGGGUUUAAAGGGUGCGUAGGCGGCACAAUUAAGUCAGAAGUGAAAGGCUGUAAGCCUUAACUAUGGGAAUUGCUUUUGAUACUGUUGAGCUUGAAUUGGGUUGAGGUUUAGCGGAAUGAGUCAGGUGUAAGCG